GGCCUUAUGGCGCAACGGCUAGCGCGUUCGCCUCCAGAGCGAAAGGUUAUCCGUUCAAAUCGGGUUAGGGUCA